GUAUUCUUAUUUUUCAAUGACAUUCGCUUAUUAUUAGAGCAGCUGGUAGCCCCAGUGAAGUGCCUGGCAAAGGGCUCCAUCGUAAAACACUGCUUUCUAAGUUUAUAGUUUCUAAUUUGGCUGUGAAAGUGUGAUUCUGGCUGCAAUUUGGCACUCGAGUGCUCAGCUGGAGUGUAAACUUCUCAUAAUAAAAACACUGGUUUAGUGGGUUUGCUGUUUUAAGUUAUAAGAGAUUUAACGAAGUUUUGACUAGUUUUGGAAGCCCAGAGAGGUCUUUCUAUUUAAAUUAGUAAACGUUAUGAUUUUGGUAAGGGUAGGAUCCCGAAAUUGCUCCUGCAGGAACACCAGAGGCAGGACUUGCACAGCAGCUGCUGGCAGCUCUGGGCAGAGGGUGCUGAUGGGGUCCCGACUACUUCCAGCCGUAAAGGAAAGUUCACAACGCAGCCCAUCUCGACUUGCAAAGAGACAGAUUUGCAGAGAUGAUGCAGCCUGGGAACGCUGAUAAGAACAGCAGACAAAGAUGUCAUCGAGUUAAAAAAAAGAGUUGGGGUGGUUCCUUGCUAGGACCUGAACACCAAAUGACUAUUGCCUAGGAUCCAAAGGGGAGACGUAAGCUUGCUGCAGAAUUCCUGGUCAGACUUGGAUGGUCCAGAACUGGCAGCCAAAUGCCUCUUGAGCACAAAGCCGAUCAGGACGUGUAAGCUUCCCUCCCUUCUCUCAAGUGCCAAAAUCAGAGUGGAUGGAGACUGCUGACUGCCUCGGGUCCAGGCUUUCCUGCUGGAGAAGUUGCCUCUAGCUUUUAUUCAAGAGAAUUCAUUUUGUCCAAACGAGUGAACCUUCACAUCGCUCCCAUCUCUGUCUUGUACAGGCUUUAUGGUGUGGUUCAAUAGCUCACGGUUAGGAAAGAAGAAGGUGUCUUCCCAUUCUACAGGAUUCUUCUACAAGCUCUUCAAAUGUCACUCGGCAAAGAUCAGGAAUCCUUCACUGACGUCCCCACAGUCUGGGCUGCUCUCACUCACCCACAUUCUGCCCCUUUCUGUUGUCCCGUGGAUGGCUAAGAAGCGGGGGCUGAGUGCCCUCUAAUCCAGUGGUUAAGGGCCUCACUGCGGAACGAUAAAUCAGAUUGUACGUUCUUGCAGUAGGUCAUGAAGCUUUUUAACCAGGAGAUCUUUUCAGAGGCGGAGAGAUCUCUAAAGAUUUUUACGUUUAAAUUCAAUUUCAGUUUUAAACUGCCCCCGAGUUUGUCUUCACGUUUCACUUCUUCAGGCUGUCCAGCAGGCAUAGAUGAUGAUUAUUAUUUUUUUUUCCCUGGAAUAAAAACAUUUUAAUGACCAGUUUUGUUCAGGGAUGAUUCAUACUCUUAAACCACCCAAGGUUGUUCUCUUAGUCACGGGUGUUAGACAGGUCCCAAAAAAUCCAUGCCAUUUUGAAGACAAGGUCUUCGAUUUCACUGGAUAAGAUUGUGGUUUGGAUACCUCUGGCAGGCACUUCAGGAUACCUAAGUGUGCACAAGGAGACUAAAAAGACUGGAGUUAAGUGUUUAGGCUGUUCCCUUCUGAAGAAAAGCAAAGUGUAAGUCUUUGCCUUUUCACUCUAAUGACUUUUUUAGGUUGACUACAAACAAAACAGGAGACCCUUAAUGGAAGGAAUUUAUGUCCCCUUUACUGAACAUAAAUUCAUAGCCUUUUCUUCUAUAUGGACAGUAUCUUGCUUAUCUGUAAGACUGUCUGGGUUCUGUUCAAUUAUGAAGAACCAAAAUACCGAAGUCACUCAGGGAAGGUCAAAGUUAAUGGUCAUGAGCCACUUCAGGUGGCCAAGUGACAGAGGAUGUCUGUGCCUACAUCGUAUACCUACAUUAGUACCCGCACCUACAUUUUAGUUCAGAUCAGCAGUGCAACAGCUUUGCAAGAACAUCUCUUCACCCACUGCACUUUGGUUUCCACUGAGCAGUUUCAGAUGAGACCAAAUUGGAAGAUGCCCUUCUGCUGCCAAUGGGAGUGCUGUGCGAGAAGAGUUCAGCCUACAUCAGCUGGAUCCAGAGACUGUAAAAUCAGUGUUAUUUGGGACUCUUGAUUCAGACAGCUGACAGUUACACUUUUUGUAUCCAUUUCUUUCAGGUGCUUCAGGAAUGAGCUUUCCUACCUCUGGACAGUGACAGAACACUUCUGCUCCUACACGAUGAGUGUUCUGCUGGGAAAGGAGUCCCUCCACUUUGCGGUUGCUCUAACCUGUCUCUUCCUGCUCUUCACCAACACUAAAAGCUGUGGUCAGAUUAGUCAGAUGAUCCAGAUGAAAGCUAACAGACCAAAAAAGAAGACUUCAGUUUUUACCAGCCACACAAACAUCCAUUCGUUUGUGAAUGCGGGUGUAUGAGAAGCAGGGAUAGGAUGAAGUCAAAGAGAAAGACAGGACCUUCCAUUUCAGCAGUGUCUCUGUCUGGAAUCAGCUAAGAUACCCAUGAAAUCUCAUCCCGUGUGACAGACAGAAAUUCAAACAAGGAAUCACAGAAUUGUAGGAGUUGGAAACAAAGACGACCUGUUUACCUAUUGGAGAGUAAAGCUGGGAUGGAUUUUGAAUUAUCAUGAAGUUAAAUUCUCCAUUGAGAGAGAAACAACGCUAGCAGCAGCUCACAAAGGCCAGCAGUCCUGCUGAUCAUGUUUUUAAAUGCCCUGGUGGCAUCUGUGAAUUAAGCAUUUCCUUUUUUUGCUUUGCGGCCAACGCAUAGUACGUUGAAAUCAGAUAGAUUUGGCAUAGAUCCAUCGUCACUGGCUGUUUCUCUGUAUACUAUGUUUACUUAAGACAAUGAAGUAUUGGAGAAAGAUGUUUGAGGCUGGUUGAGGAGUAUUAAGUAAUAUGCCUGCUCACUACAGAGAAGGCUGUAAUAAGCGUCCUCAGUCAAUAGCUUCUGGCCUGGAGCAUGAACAGUGCUUGAAUGGAGCCUAAAACUGCCAUUUUACCUCCAGAAAUGAAGAGAAAAAAAAAAAUGAUACUUCCAUGUUCACCCUAGCCUUUCUGUCACCCAGUAGACUGGAGGGAAAGUUCCUACUGCAGUAGCAUAGCUAGCCAGCAGGGGCAGCGGUGGCACAGGUAAAGGCUCCCAAAGAGACCUUUCGCUCUCUCCUUGCGCUGGUGGCUGUGCUAGUUGAGAAGUCCCUGUCAACUGGUCAGUCUGGAGAUUUCAUAUGUUCAGAACCAGAUGGGAGCUAGGGGGUAUGCUCUCCUGAUGUCGUUCCUCACCUUCCUCACAGGCAGAUCUCCAAAGCUUGAACUUCCAAGUCACAUCCCACCUCACGGUGCUUCCCACACUUUUCUUUCUGUGAUCUCAGGCUCUUCACAGUCAUAGAAUCACAGAAUGGCCUGGGUUGGAAGAGAGCUCAAGGAUCAUCACGUUCCAACCUACCUGUCAUAGGCAGGAUUGCCCACCACUAAAUCAAGUACUAGGUCAGGUUCCUCAGGGCUCCAUCCAACUUUGCUUCGAACACCUCCAGAGAUGGGGCAUCCACAGCCUCUCUGGGCAGCCUGUGCCAGCACCUCACCGCUCUCUCAGUAAAAAGCUUCCCCCUGACAUCUAAUGUAAUCUUCCCUCCUUUAGUUUAAAACCAGUCCCCCUUGUCCUAUAACUAUCUAUCAGUGCAAAAAAGUAGAGUUGCCUCCUGUUGCUAAUCUCUCUUUAAACAUUGGAACGCCGUAUUCCACAGCCUUGUCUUCUCAAGACUGAACAAGCCCAGCUCCUUCAGUCUGUCUUCAUAGGAGAGGUGCUCCAGCCCUCUGAUCAUCUUUGUGGCCCUCCUCUGGACCCUCUCCAAAAGCUCCACACCUUUCCUGUGUUGGGGGCCCC
ensembl:lncRNA